UACGUAGGUGGCAAGCGUUAUCCGGAAUUAUUGGGCGUAAAGCGCGUGUAGGCGGCCCGGUAAGUCCGCUGUGAAAGUCGGGGGCUCAACCCUCGAAUGCCGGUGGAUACUGUCGGGCUAGAGUGCGGGAGAGGCGAGUGGAAUUCCUGGUGUAGCGGUGAAAUGCGCAGAUAUCAGGAGGAACACCAAUUGCGAAGGCAGCUCGCUGGAACGUAACUGACGCUGAGACGCGAAAGCGUGGGGAGCAAACAGG
rnacentral:rRNA from 1 species